UUGUAGGGUAUCCCUAAACUACCAUUCAUCGAUGAAAGUCGUCUUCUUACCAAGCAUAGUAUAUAUUGCUUUGGAUCUAUUACAGGGUUAGCGUAGUUGUUAUUGCCAGGGUCAAUGAAUUUGAGUAAAUGCAAGAAACGGCUUCAUGCAAAAUAUGUUGUUCAUCCAGAUGCAUCUAACACUUUAUUUGUCGAAUGGUUGCCUGCAAAUUGUACAAAACGUGAAUUCUCUCUUAUCUUGCUCCUUUUGUAGGUUUUAAAGAAGUAACACCUAUGAGCAAGGAGUCUCGUCAUGUUACAGACCAAAACCUUGAUAUUUCGCAAAAGACACCUGCUUGUGUACCUUAUGCUUUGCGGCAUUAUUAUUAUCAGUAUUUAUCGUCCAUCGCUGAGGCUGUUGAGAUACAAAUCUGAAUACAUUCACCAUAGAGUGCAAGGCCAGUAUGUCAGAAACAUGUUGUUAGCAGUCGCAGUCGCAGUCAUCUGCCUAAAUAGUUAAGUUGUUGCUUGAUUUUAUAACCUGAUUAUGCCUAUUUUAACAUGCUGAUUGCUCGACUCUGCAUAUAGUUAUUUCACCUCCUGUAUUGCAGGAGAAGAUCUCAAUUCUUAGAGAAAAUGACACAUUACUAAAAGCAAAGGAAAAGCUGAAUCUUUAGAUGGAUUCUUUGCUGAAAAACAAAGAUUUAGCUGACGGUCAAAUUAUGGCACUAACAAAAUCAUUGGAAGCUCUUCAAAAUGAUCUUAAGGACCGAGAGCUUCAGGUACAAGAUUUGAAGCAGUCAUUGGAGCUUCAAAGACAGGAACUAAAUGACUGCAGAGUGAGAUCACUUUACUAAAAAUGCACAUAGAGGGGUAGAAAAUUUUACGGAAUCACAUCUCCGCGCUUUUGGUGAAAGAGAACGCUGGAAAAUUGAAGUUUUAUUGCGGAUGUUGACAAAGCUGCUUCCAUUCGUGCACUGAAAAGUGAUUGAGACUUGCUCAUUUCCCUCUGCAAUGAGAUCUUCCACAUCUUCUGAAAUAUGGGGAUUCUUCAUAAUCUCCUUGUUUGAAUUGUACGCAGGGAUCCCCAUCAGCAGAAUGCACUCCUAACAGCGUUCCUGGCAAAGGUGAAUGAGGUAUUUGGGAUGAAGUCAAAAAGCAGUACUCUGGUGAUAUUUUAGAAGCAGUUGAAUCUUUGCUGAGGAGAUUGGUUAAGCAAGCGGAGUCUGGUGAUACUUCUGGUGAUAUUUAGUCUUUCUUUCACUGUUUUUCAAUGCCUCUGUCAGUUGACACAAACUAGGUUACCCAUCCAUUUUAAAAACAUCAACAUAGAUCGAAUAUUAUAUGUCAGUCACAACAUACAUAAGUUUACUUGUGUACAUUCAAUUCAAGAAUCCUUUCUUUUAUGA